AUGAUUCAGGGUUAGCUCGAUUCGGUUGAACUCAGACGGUUUCGAUUCAAAACAGCACGGUUCGGUUAUUUUCGAUUCAGUUCAUGUUAGGUCCAAUUUAUCUAAUGACACCACAAAAAUUAACAAUUUUAAUGAGUAGCAUAUUUGAUUUGAUUUAAUUCAAGUUAUAUAACUAUAUGUUGUCAUUUGUAAACAUCAUAUCUAUUCAUAAUGGCAUUUUAUAACUUUGAUAAAAAAAAACAAAAACAAAAACAGACAGUCUAUCAAAAUUUGUUAUAUUAAUGUGCUGCAUAAGUUUUGGAUUAUUAAACAAAUCUAUAGUGAAUCUAAAAUGUAUAUGAUAUUGUUUUCAUUGAUAUGUAAAAAUUCAACAAUUCUAUCAAAAUGCUAUAUGUCAUGUAAAGAUAAACUGCAAUGAUCUUACGGACCAUAUUCUGUUGGUAUCUGAGUGGUGAAAAUGCUAACUCUUAACACAGUAGUGAUUUAAAUCUCUCCUGCAUAAAAAAACACGUUUUCAACAUCACGCAUUAUGAAAGAUCCAGGAUAUCUGCACGUGAAGUUUGUACGUCCUUUUUUGUCAGUAUUCAGUCAUUCAUAAUUAAUAAUGUUAGAUAUCUGUUGCAUUUGUCUUUGAAUCAAAUAAAAUGAUGAUAAUACAUAUAUAUUCCUAUCCUUUAUCACGCGAAGUCCGAUUUUCAUUUCCCUGACUUUAUUUUUGAUCACUGAAAAUUGAAUUAAAAAAAAUUAACAGAAAAGUAAGGCAAGUGUAUAGUUUGCAAUAAAAAUGUUUCAUAUACCUUUUCUAUAUAUUGUUGAAAUACUUGAAAAUGCUGAAAUGAAUAAUUUUUUGCGGCCGAUUUGAUGCUUUGCAUCAAUUUAACUUGUUUACAUUUUUUUACACAUGUAUGUAUCUAUUUAUUUCUCUGUCGAUGUAAUUAAAAAUUGUUUAUUAGUGUAUAUAAUAAAUCCGCCAAUCUACAUCUAUCUAUAUGGGUCGUUAUCAAUGUAGAAGAGAAAAAGAUAUGUCAAAAUUAUUGCUAAUAAAGUAAUGAAAAUAUUACAGUGUAGAACGUGACAAUUUUUCUAAUCGGUCUAGAAAUUUCUCAUAUGAUUCAGACACUGUACCUAGGAAAGUACAUAUUGAAUACAUUAACGCUACAAAUAUCAAUUUCAUCUUCUUACGGCAAGCCCUGUGCCAUACGUGUAGUAGUAUUAUCAGGGACGUCGACGUCCCUGAUUAUAUGAAGAAAUUAAAUAGGGCCAAAAUAAAAAUAUUGUUUGUUUCCCCUCGCCCGACCGAGUCUGAAAAUUCACACCGACCCAUAAGUUUUUAUUACGCCAUUCUGGUGAAGUUUUUUUUUUAAUUUUAAGAAAAAUUCAAGGUCGUUUCUGGUGCAGAUCAGUAUUUUAUAAUGACAAAAAUUUUCUAUAUCUUAUUUGGUUUCAAUCCAAAAUUAAAAAAUAAUAAUACGAAUACAGGAGGUGUUCUGGUCCGAAAUCUAGAAAUUUCGCCCCCUCCAGCUGGAGGCGGCAUUCUCUGGUUGAUUUCAAAUACUUACAAGCCGAAUUCAAUUUUAAGCUCAUAACUAAUCAAUAAAACGAUUCUUCUUGUACUUACUAAUAUCGAUUUUAUGGGUUCUUUCAUCACAUAAACAGUCUCUUGAAAACAUUUUAUCAAACUGUCGAGCUUGGUUUUGAGUCACGAGACUCGUUUGCUCAAAUGGCAGUGAAAAUUCGGUUGACUACAAUUGUUGGCUUCUGUUUAAUAUCGAAUUUUGGAUUGAUAUUUUCUUUUAAUCGAUAUUAAUAAGUACAAGAAUCAUGAUUGUUUUAUUGAUUAGUUACAAGUGAGUUUAACAUUGAACUCGGCUCGCAAUUCGGACUAGUGAUUUGCAAGAUCGAGAUGGAGAAAUGUUGUCUAUACGAGGAGCGUGGAAACAAGAGAAUUCGGGGCAAUCCAGUGUGCAAGUUGUAUUCUUCAGCAGGGGAAAGUGUUGAUAUUUCGGACGGAUGCGAUAUUUUUGACAGUCAAUCAGAAGCAUUCUCAAUUUAACUUAUUUCUGAACUAAUGCUAUAUUUACAAACUGGAAAACACCUAAUUAUAUGCACAUGUGUAACUCAGCUCUGAUUGGUUGAUGUCAGCAUCCAUUUUGUUUGAUCGGCAAAAUCAAGUCUCGUUGAAACGUUUUCUGGUAAACUAGAUCUACCGAUAUCAUUUAAAAAUAUAAUCAAAAUCACUAUCAUAUAUAAAUUAAGAUAAUGUGCAAAAAACAAAAGCAUAAAAUGUCAGUGAACCAUAAAUAAAAGACAGCAACCGAGUUUACCAAUUUUAUAACACCAUGUGUCCAAAACUAACACCAUUGUCCAUAGUUGCAACAUUCUCCCUAACUUUAUUUAAGUGUUAGUAUGUGGUAUAAAUAGCAGAGAAAAUUCUGAUGAAACCCAAUGUUCGUCGAAUCAACCAAUAUGUAUACAUGUAGUCCAAUGCCUAAGUUUAGUGGUUAGAUAAUGAGCAUUUCCAAAAUACAUGAGUACUGUCCGAAAUAUCGACACCUUCCCUAAUUGCAAAACGUGGCAAUCAAAGCAGAAUUUACGCGAGAACUGACUAUACGAGUUUGAUGAGGAAACAUGGAUAAUGUGCUUCACGACCUUUGGUAUCGGGCAUUGUUAAUGGUUAUGGGAAUUUCAUAAUAAAUAAAAUUCUGCUAGCUAAAAAAAAUAAAAACUUUUUACCUACCUACCGACCUUCCUCUGAAAUUUAGGGUCGGGAGAGGGGAAACAAACAUAUUUUUAAAUGUGGCCUAGGCUACUUGUAAGUACUAUUACAGUAUUGUAGUUAACUUCACCCUUGAAUUUAAAAGAAUUGAUUGAAACAGAAAUUCCGUUAAAACAACGAAAUGCCCCUUGGUUCACUCUUUAAAAGUCUGCAAGUGAAAUAUACAUCCACAGUACACAGGACUGGCUGCAGAAGCAUGCAUGCAAAAUCCGUGCAGUGAUCUGACGUCUAUUUCUGUUAACAGUUCACAGUAUAAAACGAAUUUUUAUGCAUAAUUCAGUCAAAACUUGGGUACUUGUUGAUAACAUACAUACACAUAUAUGCACUGAAACAAUGUGACAUUUACGGAAAGUAAUUUUAAAAAAAAAAGAAUAUCAAAGAUGUUUUAAGCAUCUCGGUGAUUUUCACAGUUGAUAACCCAGCUUCGUGAUGUUUGAGGAUAAUGCUUCGAAUAGCCAGCGAUAGUCUACGACCUCCUUUCCCAUCGGGCGCCAUUGUGAAAAUAAUAUACUGUGGCUGAAAAAGUGGGUCACGUGACAUAAAUUGCACGCUUUCUGCACGGUACGGUACGCUUUCGGGCUUUUGGGGGCGGGGUUUGCAUAAUAUUAUCCUGCACGCUUUCUGCACGGUACGGUACGCUUUUUGAACGAUACGGUUCGUUUCUUGAACGGGACGGUACGUUUCUUGAACGGUACGGUUCGUUUCUUGCACGGAACGGUUCGGUUCGUUUUUAAGGUGUAGUAGCACAUUUCAGGGUCUGUAACAUAUAAGUAUGUUUUUGGUUUUGGGUAAAUUCUUAAUAUCCUCAUUAAACCCAAUGUAUAAAAGUAAAAUGGAGCUGAAAAAUUGCCAAACACCUUUUAUUCAGCUCUCAGGAAUGUGUACUGAUAAUAAAAUAUAUUUCUUUUUUUUUUUAAAUUGUUUUCACUUUAGAAAAAAAAAAUCAAAGUCCAUGAACCAACUUUUUUUCCAUUGAAAAAUGUUACAUAAAUUUUCUUAGGAUCUUUAAAUGAUAGAUUAGAGAUUUAAUAAGCUUAGAGGCAUAUGAUAAGUAUGUUUUUGAAUAAUAUGAUUGUGUUAUAUAAUGCUCUGAAAAUAACAUAAAUGCCACCCUUGAAACGAAUUAGAAAAUACAUUACUGAAAUUAAUAUUACGUUCGUAGCCUGUCGUGUCCGAAAAUGAAGAAAAAAUAUGAUGCCUCUUAAUAUUUCAUGACGAGAAUUUAUUUACUGUAUCACGUGUUGUUUGCAUAUUUCAUGUCGUUAUUAACUCAGUAAAUGAAUACCAAGCCAAUUGUGAUUGUGUUACUUAUUUUAUUUUUCAAACGAUUUUCAUGGUUACUUUUGGAGUCCGAUUCGUUACGAACAUAAAUCACCUGGUUGCUAGUACGAUUGAGAUUCACAUGAUGUAUUUCGAUUUCUAUUCUAUUACGUCACCGAUGCUGAACUCCCUAUGUGUAAUUGAACUCGCCCACAGAUUUGCAUUGUGGGAUAGCGAUGGCGGUAAAUACAGUGUCCACAAAACGAUGAUUUCGUUACGAACAUGAUUCGUCGUUAACUGAUGCAGAAAAAUUCAUCAAGGAAGUUUGUGGGGGUGAAUACCUUCUCCAAUUUAUGCUGCGGAAAGCAGACAGAUUAUAUUGGCCCCCUGUGGAUGAAUUCUCUUGGGAGCCAUAUGAUAACAUACAUCGACUUUUGCCAAUACCUGUUUCGUCCAAUUAAGCAGUCUUCCUCUGGAAGACAAUUAUUUUAAUUUUGAAACAUUCACACUCGCUCAUGCUAUUCAAAAUUCAUAUUGAUGUUGCAUUGAAAUAAAUGUUUUCCUUAGCGCUGAAAAAA